UUACCUGCCCCGCCCCAACUUGUUAUACUCCAUGCAGCCCUCAACAAGGGUCCCAUUGUGAGACCCCGAGACUGAAUUUAUGCAAUUUAGCUCCAAAUGCUAACUUGCGCAUAAAUCAAGUCCCAGUGCCUCCCUACGAUGAACACUUCACAACAUACACGCAAUGUGUUCACCGCAGGUUGGAACAACAAUGAUAUCAUUACAUCACUCUAAGACACAAGAAUUAAGUCAAGCUCUUGCAUGGAGCAAAAUACCGAGUUAUUACAACUCAGGGACACAUGUCCACAAUCAUCAUUACACUUGCGGAGGCAAAUUAGGCCCGAGUACGGACAAGUUACAAUUAUUGCCUAAGAGGCUGAAACUGGAAAGGAGAGCCCGCCACAAGUUCACAGAACCCUGCUCUGGAAUCUUCUGGCUAAGCGUCGAAGCUGUCGUCGUCGAACUCCACGAAGUAACCACUUACCUGUUCCUCCGGAAACUCUGGAGAAAACAACGUUGCAGAGCAACUGAGUACAAAGUACUCGCAAGACUUACGGGAGAUCUAAACUAGAUAUGCAACAAGUCUCAAAAGAUGGAUAAAAAGGUGGGGUUAUGCAGUAGCAAUUUAUCUGAAGAGACACACUAAUGACAUCGUCUAAUUAGAGGAUGAGAAGCGUCUACCAAGUGAGGUGAUCUCUAAUAUCUAACACCAACCAAACACAACCUCUUAUCACCCCCUCAACCCCUUGUGAGGAAAUGAUCCAAAGACACUCACACUUAAGCAGUUUUAAGCAUACCCAUGGUUAAGGCUAAUUACUACUCAAGUUUAAGAGAUUAAGUUAAUUAAUUGGUAUGAGUUCUCUAUGAUCAAGUAUGACCAACCAAGUCGUCCAUGACCGCGGACACGGCUUUCCGAAAGAUUUAUCCCUGCAGGGUGUGCCAAUUUACCCAUACACGUUCGUCCAACCCUUGACGCCACUAGGAUGGAACACACGCAAAAGCAUGUGCCGGCAGGAUUGAGCGACACGACGUUUCCAAGCCCCACAACUAAUCCAGGAAACCACCCAACUGAGUCUAAUCCGAAAACGAGAGCCCGGCUGAAGCGUCGUACGGACUCAAGAGUUGCGGGAACAGCUGGUAGUGGUUCAGUGUCCGCAGAAUGACCACUACAGACGUGUGCCGCAGUCCUAUAUGUAUGCAAAGUACCAACAAAUCUGCAAACACAACAACAAUGUAUAUGCGAUAUGCCAAAUGGAACGCCCGAACUAUGUGGCCCUUGGAAGAGCUAUGAAACGAGUACUAAGCCGAGAGAGAACCCAUAUAUUCUCCCACGAGCAGUUAGCGCGAAGUUUCUUGGGUCGGCGAAAACGAGAACUCAGUCCUUAAGUCGGCGCCAAUGGAACAAAACACUAAUGCGUUAGCACGGCCUCCCAUCGUUGCCUUGUGCAGGUAAUAACAGGUCAACUUAAUAAUUGCAAAUACAUACAGAAAGUAGCAUGUGGAUGUAGCAAUUGUAUAACCCCAAGUAAGGACACUAGACUAGCAAUCUAAGCAAACUUCUAAUGACCAACUAGGGCAAUAACAAACAUGUGACAUGGUGAUAGGAUAAGGAACAAGACAACAGGCAUUUGAGUAGAGCUGACUAAAGCUAUGCAAUCCUAGAGGCAUCGUGACAAGAACCGAGAACGUAACUUAAUGCAAGAAUGAGAGAGAGGCAUUGGAUAUAAUCAAUAUGUUCAAGGAAUGGCUGCUUGCCUGGAUUCUCGGUCGCUGGGCACCGAGAGAGGGGAUCCGAAGAAGUGUGGGAACCCGGAUCGUUGGCAGAGUAAGUCGGAGUCGCUAUCGUAAAGAACCAAAUCACACAAUACGCAAAUAAGUAACCAUUCACAGGUGCAAUGCACAAUACAACAUGAGAUGGCAUGUGACAACACGAUGCAACAAUAUGCAAGUGAAAUGAUUCCAUUUAGCAACAAAGUUAACCAUUAGGUGAUUAGAACAUGAUAAACAGUAGCUCUAAAAUACACAAAUGGCCUAACCAAGUAUGCUACUGUGUUCUACCAGUUACAGUGAUCAACUUUGAUGUUUACACUAAUUACAGAAGAGUUACCAAUUUUAAAUUAGAAACUAAACAAGUACAUACGUUUGAAUUUCAAAUCUGGGACAGAUUUGAAAUCUGAAACUUAAAAAUGUAAAUCUAAUUGCACAGUUAAAUCCCUUGCAUUUUUCUGAUUCCAAAACAUAUAUGGUUUGCUCAAUUUGGAUAUAGCAUGCAAUUACUAGGAUUUAAACAAGAUAAAACAACUUUCUGCAAUUUAAACAAAACCAACAAGGAAAGCCCAUGCGGAUCCAGCGCAUGGACUUGGUCCACCGGGUGCAGCGGUGCACCAGGCAACUGACAGGUGGGUUUGUGGGGCCCACUUGUCAGUGGCCGGUGAAAACCCAAAAAAACGGGGUUUUAACCUGCUCGAGGGGGAACUCGAACCCGCGCCGAUCAGAUCCAACGCUGAGGAAGCAGGCCACUGCGAUAAGAAUUCGCAUCUUAACAUAACAAGGGCGUGUGUCCUUUUGAACUAACCCAAACUAGCAGCUUGUGUGACCACACGAUGCGGCGGAGGAACUAGCUAGCGCAGGAAAACGGCGGCACGCGGAGUUAAGCUAGGUGGCACGAAGGCCACCACACGGUCCUUAGCGAGAACGGCGGCGCAACGACGAGCAGCAGCUCGCCGGUGGCAAGCCGGAGCACGCGGGCGGCGCUACGGUGCACGAAAGCAUGCGCGGAAAGAGGCGGGAGAGAGAGGAGCUCACCCCGGUGACUUGAGAGGAAGCUGACGUGGUUUACACGGACGUGCUCGUCGGAAUUUCGUCGGAGACGGGCGGCGGCCGGAGUUGGGGAAGACGAACUAGGCGGCGACGUAGGCGAUCUCUGAUCGAUUCCUCGCGUCCAGACGAAGAGCAGCUCCGGGCGAACAAGGUGACACGUGCGGUUCGUCGUGGUUCGGUCGGAGGCGGCGGCGCGGCGCGACGGCGUCCACGGCCCGGGAAGAAGGCGACGGCGGCGCGCAGAAGGAGGGAGAGGAAACCCUAGCAAGGGUUUGCCUGGCGCUGGGGAAGGGAGGAG
rnacentral:lncRNA from 1 species